CUAUCAUGUGGGUGGAUCUGUAAAUCACAUACAAUGGAAGUAAAAGGAUGAUUCAGUGUGAAGGUGCCAAGUGGAAUGCAGAUCUAUGUGCUGCAUGGAACAGGAGCUGCCUAAGCUGCACCAAGCUCAGCCAUGUGCCAGAAUCAAGGCCUGAGCAGGCUCUCUGAGCUUUAUUGUCAACUUUAAAUGAUAAGAUAACAGCAGCUUCCUAGAAGAUUGCUUUAAGAAUUGCAGAUUAAUCAUCCAUGAGUGAUGAAAGACAGAUACCAACAAAUGAAAUUAGACUCUCUCUGACUAUCCUCAGAUCAGAAACUCUUGAGACAUGCAGCAUUUUGGGAGGACCAAGUAGGAGCCAGACAUGGAGAGAGAAGAGAGAGUGAAAGGAAGUAGCAUCAACAGCAGAACUAACUUAAACCUAAGAAUCAACUGACAAGAGAUUGAGCUGAUUAUUCAUCACCCUCAGGAACCUCAUUUAACCUUUCUGAGCUUCAUUGUAUUAACUUAAGCUCUUCAACACAGCUACCUUUUGGGUUAUAUGCUCACCCUUAAACCAAUUACUGGUAAAUGUAAUGGAAUUACUACACUUCGUUUUUGGACUUUUUUUUUUUUUUUUUUUGAGACUGAGUCUCACUCUGUCGCCCAGGCUGGAGUGCAGUGGCACGAUCUCGGCUCUCUGCAGCAUCCGCCUCCUGGGUUCACGCCAUUCUCCUGCCUCAGCCUCCCGAGUAGCUGGGACUACAGGCGCCCGCCACCAUGACCGGCUAAUUUUUUGUAUUUAGUAGAGACAGGGUUUCACCAUGUUAGCCAGGAUGUUCUCGAUCUCCUGACCUCGUGAUCCGCCCGCCUCAGCCUUCCAAAGGGCUGGGAUUACAGGCGUGAGCCACCUCACCCAGCCUUUUUUUUUUUCACUCUCUCUCCCAGUCUGGAGUGCAAUGGUGCCGUCUUGACUCACCGCAACUUCCGACUCCCGGGUUCAAGCGAUUCUUCUGCCUCAGCGUCCCGAGCAGCUGGGAUUACAGGCGCCCACCACCACGCCCGGCUAAUUUUUGUAUUUUCAGUAGAGACAAGGUUUCACCACGUUGGCCAGGCUGGUCUCGACCUCAGAUGAUCCACCUGCUUCAGCCUCCCAAAGUGCUGGGAUUGCAGGCAUGAGCCACCGCGACCAGCCUACACUUGAGAUAGAACUUGAGAUAGGCUGGGCACAGUGGCUCACACUUGUAAACUCAGCACUUUGGGAGGCCGAGGUCAGAGGAUUGCUUGAGCACAGGAGUUUGAAACCAGCCUGGGCAACACAGUGAGACCUCAUCUCUACAAAUAAUCAUAAUAAUAAUUUUUUACAAAAGCCGCAUGUGGUUGCAUACACCUGUGGUCCCAGCUUAUUUGGGACACUGAGGUAGGAUUGUUUGAGCUCAGGCGAUCAAAGUUGCAGUUAGCUGUGAUCAUACCACUGUACUCCAGCCUGGGUAAUACAGUGAGACCUGGUCCAAAAAAAAAAAAAAAAAAAAAAAAAGGAACUUAGAAUAGUGUUAGCUUCCCUGAGGGGUGGGUAGUUGAAUACAAGUUAAAUUAUUUUGAUAAACUGGGAUAGAAAAAUGAAUAUUGGGAUUAGCAAGCAAUAGUGACUGCUCUAGAAGUGAAAUGUCUUUAUUAAAAUGGGAUUUUUGAGGUUUUCCUGAUGAACUUGCUUCUAAGAUGUGGUCUGCAAUCUGAAACAUUAUCUCUUUUUUUCCCUGCAAUAACACUUGAAUCUUGACACCGUGCUUUGGAGGUGUUGGAUUUAAUCUCUCAUGAUUAUUCUUAAUGGAUAAAUUUCAAAAUCUUUACUUUUUCUCCUCUACAAUUAUAAAAGGCAAAAGAAGUAUCAUUCAACCUAGAGAAAAGACCUACAUUUCAUUAAGUUGGAAACUAAAACUGCACAUUAACAAUCUCAAAACUCCGUAAUUUUAGAGAAACAAGUGAUCAUAGGUGCUAUCAUGCUAUGCAGACAUCUUAGGUGUGAAUUUUCAUAGCAGGUGAAUUUGGGACUUGGGGAAUCUCUGCUAUGGUUCUUGUAUGACCAUGGUCAGUGGUAAAAGUUAACAACAGUCUACCACUGCAUUGCACAGGCAAGACCACAAAGGCCUUGGAUUCUGAACAACCAGGGGUUUGUCUCACACCAUUAUACUAAGAGUUAUAGCCAACUGGGGUUCUGGGUGAAAGCCAAAGACUAUAAGAAUAUGCCACAGAGAAAAUAAGAGACAAACAACAACAACAACAACAAAAAAACUGCUAAACUGUUGUGAAGUAGAAAAAGGACUUCAGAUUUCAUCUGUGCCUGGUUAUUACUGCCAUUGUUCAUAAGUGUUUGCAUGUGUUCUAAUUAUCCUCUCUUCACUAACUGUAUUGGUAACUCAAUUUACUAUGUAGUCCAUAGCUUAUAGAUGAUCUGGUAACAUCUGGGUGGAAUUAUGAUGGAAUUAGAGGAAAAAUAUACAACAUAUGGAGACUGUGGAUUCCAAGACAAACAGCAUUUAAAGGAGCCUGUGAUAUUCUCUGUGGAUAUAGUAACCAGAGAUGCCUUUGAAUUCCAUCCUUAUUGGAAGGCAAUAAUUGUGUGUAGGUUUGAUCAUUUUAGAUAGGCACAUCCUUGAAACUAUGCAUAUAGAAAGAUAGCAACCAAUGACACAAAGGGCACUGUAUCUACAUUAAUACUUGAGGAAGGAUAGGUGAGUUAGACAGCUGGGAGAGCUAAACAGCGGAUGCAAACUGGGGUUGUUGUAGGCAAAUUAGCACCUUUGGUCAGCCAAGCUAUACCCAAUAUCUGUUUCUUUGUGAACCUGCAUUAUCCACAAACCAAUGCUUAUGAAAUAAGUAGUGAAGUAUCCUAUAGGCAGAGUUGGCCACUGAUUAGAUCAGGAUCAGAUGCUUUUGUUAUUGAAAGGUAACCAAGCCAUACUUUCCAUGAUGAACAAUAACAUGUUCAGCCAUAAAUGACUCUACUCAGUAAAGUUAAUAGUAAUUAAAUAAGCCAACCAAACUAGCUUCUUCUGCAAUUUGGACUGAAAAUAUGGAGAAUUUUGAAUAGACAGGAAAUAAGCAUAAAUACAAAUGAAGGCACAAUGGGAAAAUUUAUUUGCCUACCUCACUCGAGGGAUGGGAAUUGUGUUGGAGAUAGGAUCAAGAAUGGGCUGAUAAUUAUGACUUCUCUUAAGUGGCCUCCCUGAUAAAUAAGAACAAAGAAAUGCAGUGAGUUCAUAUUUUAAUGGGACCAAAUAAAAAAAAUUCUACAAACAACCUCCUGGAUAAAAAUGGUGGCAUUAAAAUAGCUGCAUUAAUUUGGAUAUAUCAAAAUGCCCUGAGUGAUACUUUAUUCUACAGUUUAGCAAGAGACUCCUUGGGAUAAGUAACUCAAUCCAGGAUGAGAUACAGAAUAUUGAUGAGAUAUUGACACCACAUUUAGAAAAUACAUGUAUUUAUGUAUCUCUGUUUGUAUGUUUAUGUGCAUAUAUACACUAAUUCUUUUAGCAAGUAGAUAUGGAGAGAAUAUUACUUGCUUUCAUAGCAUGCUUCCAGGAGUUUCAGAGAAUACGCCUCUGAAGAAAGAGAAAUUAUGUCCUCUGACCUCUUUUCUUAGGGCUGUUUGGAAAGAGAGCACACACAUCAUAAAGAAGAGUUCAAGGUAAACCUAGACAAGUGAGUGGAUUUGAAGCCAUCAUAUCAUACAAUCAGAGAAUCUUAGGUUUUGAAUGAAAUGUGAAGAUAUAUUUCAAAUGAAUAAUUGGAAGAGUGAAUGAAAGAACUAAUGAAUCUAAUAGAAACCCUACUGAUUGCCUACAUACAAUGAUUGCCAUGAAUUGUUAUUUACUUUUCUAUGUAUACUAAUUAACACAUCUGCACCAUUCUCUCAGUGUGUGCAUAUCUUGUGUAUAGGAGGUAGUUAAGAAGUUCUCAGUAUAACUUUAUUAAAUUUACACCCUCAGAAAAUGUCUGCCAAAUGGGGAGAAAUGUGUAUUCAUUUUGCUUUCACCAACGAGCUAGUAAAGACUUGCUGAAUGUUUCAUGAAUGAUAAAAGUGCAAGAUAAUAUAGGAUAAAAUGUAUACCAGGCAUAAACACUAAAGGUGAAAAAGAUCUGUAAAUUUAGAAAAACAUCAUCUGUACAAUAAGCAUCUUUUAGAGAGUCAUGAUGUCUCAUGGAGAGCUAUCUUUCUGGUUGAUAUAGUCCUAGUACAGACAAAAAAUUGUAUUUUCACAAAAUAAAAUGUGCA
rnacentral:lncRNA from 1 species